rnacentral:lncRNA from 10 species
CCUGUAUGUGCUGCGAGAAGCAAGAUAGCUAAUUGCUGUUGCUUCAGUGCCAGUGAAAUCAACGUGCUGAGCUAAUAGCGACAGAUAGAGGGCAGACAGAUUCCUGCGAGCAGCUUAGAGUUAGUUGCUUGUGAUAACUAAGGCAGGUGGCAUACAUCUCAGAACGUGGAGAAUGAUGGUAUGCUUUCUGAGUUAACAUGUUGAAGUGUUUCGCUUUUAAAAAAAAAUGUCUAGUAACAUUUUCUUGAUGAUAUGAGAGUGGAUAUCAAUGCCUCACAGAAACAAGAGGUGGAACAUGUGAAUGAAUCGUCUUGGAAUUAGAUUAUGAGCAUUGGUUCUUUUUAAAGGGAUGUGCAAGAGGCAGCCUUGGCAAGAAAACUUGCUGCAUAAUCUUACGUGGACUAAAGAUGAAACUUUAAACCGCAAUGGCUGACAAACCUAAAUCAAGGAUUGAUUUUAAUGAAUCUGAAGUCUGAUGAAUGAAUCGCUUUACUUGGAGGUAUGAGUAGAUUUUCUUAAUUAAAUGUACUUGAGAAGAAUAUGAGUAUUUUUUAACAUAUAGGCUAAAUUAUAUUGAUUUUCAUCUAUGGUUUAUGUGGGUUUUGUGGAUCAGUGCAACUUUAUUUUUUAAAUGUUUG